UGGGGAAUAUUGCACAAUGGGCGCAAGCCUGAUGCAGCCAUGCCGCGUGUAUGAAGAAGGCCUUCGGGUUGUAAAGUACUUUCAGCGGGGAGGAAGGGAGUAAAGUUAAUACCUUUGCUCAUUGACGUUACCCGCAGAAGAAGCACCGGCUAACUCCGUGCCAGCAGCCGCGGUAAUACGGAGGGUGCAAGCGUUAAUCGGAAUUACUGGGCGUAAAGCGCACGCAGGCGGUUUGUUAAGUCAGAUGUGAAAUCCCCAGGCUCAACCUGGGAACUGCAUCUGAUACUGGCAAGCUUGAGUCUCGUAGAGGGGGGUAGAAUUCCAGGUGUAGCGGUGAAAUGCGUAGAGAUCUGGAGGAAUACCGGUGGCGAAGGCGGCCCCCUGGACGAAGACUGACGCUCAGGUGCGAAAGCGUGGGGAGCAAACA
rnacentral:rRNA from 1 species